GCAGUGGUAAUUCAGUGGUUGAAUUCUUGACUUUCAUGCAUGAGAACAGGGUUCAAUUCCCGGCCAUUGUA
rnacentral:tRNA from 1 species